rnacentral:rRNA from 1 species
AAAAAUUUGGCGGUAUUUUAGUCUAUUCAGAGGAACCUAUUUUAUAAUCGAUAAUCCACGAUGGACCUUACUUAGAUUUGUUUUCAAUUUAUAUACCGUCGUUAUUAGAAUAUUUUAUUAGAAUGUUAAUUUUCUUAAUUUUUUAUAAAAAAAUAUAUCAGAUCAAGGUGUAGUUUAUAUUUAAGUAAAAAUGGGUUACAAUAAAUUUAUUUAAGUGAAUAUAAAUUUGAAAUAUUUAUUGAAAUUGGAUUUGAUAGU